AGAAUCAACGCUGGCGGCGUGCCUAACACAUGCAAGUCGCACGAGAAAGGGACUUCGGUCCUGAGUACAGUGGCGCACGGGUGAGUAACACGUGAAUAAUCUACCUCCGAGUGGGGAAUAACUGAGAGAAAUCUUAGCUAAUACCGCAUAACACUUACGAGUCAAAGCAGCAAUGCGCUUGGAGAGGAGUUCGCGGCAGAUUAGUUAGUUGGCGGGGUAAUGGCCCACCAAGACGAUGAUCUGUAUCCGGCCUGAGAGGGCGCACGGACACACUGGAACUGAAACACGGUCCAGACUCUACGGGAGGCAGCAGUGGGGAAUUUUGCGCAAUGGGGGAAACCCUGACGCAGCAACGCGCGUGGAGGAUGAAAUCCCUUGGGAUGUAAACUCUUUCGAUCGGGAAGAUAAUGACGGUACCGAGAGAAGAAGCCCGGCUAACUUCGUGCCAGCAGCCGC
rnacentral:rRNA from 1 species